rnacentral:rRNA from 1 species
CUACGGGUCGCACCAGUGGGGAAUAUUGGACAAUGGGGGAAACCCUGAUCCAGCAAUGCCGCGUGUGUGAAGAAGGCCUGCGGGUUGUAAAGCACUUUCGGUUGGGAGGACUGCUUCUAGCACUAAUAUUGUUGGAAGUUGACGUUACCUUCAGAAGAAGCACCGGCUAACUCCGGUGCCAGCGGCCGCGGUAAUACGGAGGGUGCAAGCGUUAAUCGGAAUUACUGGGCGUAAAGCGCGCGUAGGCGGCUAGAUCAGUCGGGUGUGAAAGCCCCGGGCUUAACCUGGGAACUGCAUCCGAUACUGUCUAGCUCGAGUACAGGAGAGGAGAGUGGAAUUCCACAUGUAGCGGUGAAAUGCGUAGAUAUGUGGAGGAACACCAAUGGCGAAGGCAGCUCUCUGGCCUGAUACUGACGCUGAGGUGCGAAAGCGUGGGGAGCAAACAGGAUUAGAUACCCCUGUAGUC